AUUGCCUCAGUAACGGCGAGUGAAGCCGCAACAGCUCAAAUUUUAAAGCUGGCGUCCUCGACGCCCGCGUUGUAAUUUGGAGAGGCAUCUUCGGUUUGGGCGCCAGCCUAUGUUCCUUGGAACAGGACGUCACAGAGGGUGAGAAUCCCGUGCUUGGCUGGCUGUCCCUCUCCAUGUGAAGUGUCUUCGACGAGUCGAGUUGUUUGGGAAUGCAGCUCAAAAUGGGUGGUAAAUUUCAUCUAAAGCUAAAUAUUGGCGGGAGACCGAUAGCGCACAAGUAGAGUGAUCGAAAGAUGAAAAGCACUUUGAAAAUAGAGUUAAAAAGUACGUGAAAUUGUUGAAAGGGAAGCGCUUGAGACCAGACUCGGCCGGAGACGAUCAGCGGUCCUUUUGGGCCGUGCACUCGUCCUCGGUUGGGCCAGCAUCGGUUGAGACGGUGGGAUAAAGGUCCGGGGAAUGUGGCUCCUUUCGGGGAGUGUUAUAGCCCCGGGCGCAAUGCCGCCAGCCUCGACCGAGGACCGCGCUCUUUUGCUAGGAUGCUGGCGUAAUGGUCUUCAGCGACCCGUCUUGAAACACGGACCAAGGAGUCUAACAUCUAUGCGAGUGUUUGGGUGUCAAACCCUUGCGCGUAAUGAAAGUGAACGUGGGUGGGAACCUCUCGUAAGGGGGGCGCACCAUCGACCGAUCCUGAUGUCUUCGGAUGGAUUUGAGUAGGAGCAUAGCUGUUGGGACCCGAAAGAUGGUGAACUAUGCCUGAAUAGGGUGAAGCCAGAGGAAACUCUGGUGGAGGCUCGCAGCGGUUCUGACGUGCAAAUCGAUCGUCAAAUUUGGGUAUAGGGGCGAAAGACUAAU
rnacentral:rRNA from 1 species